UGGAAAGGAUUUUUUAUCAAAUAUUGUAAGAUUUUGAAGGGUAAAUUUCGAAUACGAUUAGUGUGGUUUUAUAUUUUUUUCACUUUAGUAUUCCGUGGUUUAAAUUGUAUCAAUUUAGUAUCUCAAUGUUUUAUUUUUUUAUUCUUUUCGUCAGGUCCUUUAUUAAUAUUUCGUUAAAUUAUAUACAAAAAUUUCAGAUACCUUGUUUAUGUUUAUCCAAUAUUUAUUUUAAUAUUUUUUUUAGUUUGAAUUUUGUUACUGAUUUAAUAAAAAAAAUAAGUGGAGGGAUAAUAAAAAAAAUAUAUAAAAUAUUAAAUAAAAAAUGCGAAACUAUAGGGAUGAUAUUUGAAAAUUUUCUAAUUUUUAAAGUAAAUGAGAGAUAGG
rnacentral:lncRNA from 1 species